rnacentral:rRNA from 1 species
GACGAACGCUGGCGGCGUGCUUAACACAUGCAAGUCGAACGGAAAGGCCCUGCUUUUGUGGGGUGCUCGAGUGGCGAACGGGUGAGUAACACGUGAGUAACCUGCCCUUGACUUUGGGAUAACUUCAGGAAACUGGGGCUAAUACCGGAUAGGAGCUCCUGCUGCAUGGUGGGGGUUGGAAAGUUUCGGCGGUUGGGGAUGGACUCGCGGCUUAUCAGCUUGUUGGUGGGGUAGUGGCUUACCAAGGCUUUGACGGGUAGCCGGCCUGAGAGGGUGACCGGCCACAUUGGGACUGAGAGACGGCCCAGACGCCUACGGGGGGCAGCAGUGGGGAAUAUUGCACAAUGGGCGGAAGCCUGAUGCAGCAACGCCGCGUGCGGGAUGACGGCCUUCGGGUUGUAAACCGCUUUCGCCUGUGACGAAGCGUGAGUGACGGUAAUGGGUAAAGAAGCACCGGCUAACUACG